rnacentral:lncRNA from 1 species
UUUUAUUGUUUUUUUUUUCUGUUUUAUUCUCAUUUAAAGUUUCUUUUUGCUUCCAGUGUUGUCCUGGCUCCCUCUGUCACACCACACUUGUCCCUUCCAUGUCCCCCAGCAGGGCAGCACCAGCAUGGCCUUCCCCAGCCCUCUUCUUUCUCUUGCAGCCACAUCAGCAAAGAGUGGCUGAGGCCUGAGGUGACCCAUCUCGGAGGAUCUGGCUGGCCACUGAGCACCUGAAGUCCUGGAGAAGUGUUCACCUCAGCCCUGGUUGUCCAGAAGGAAGUCCUGAGGCCAGCAGCUGCCCUUGCCUGUGAACUCUGUGAAGGUGAGGUUUAUCCUACGACUCCCUGGGCUCCUUCCAGAACAUUUCCCAGUCUUGAGGAGUUGGGACCGAGAAGAAUUCAGCUCUCCAAGCUUAGAUGUCCUCAUAACUGCACCGAAAGUCAGCCAUGGUGAUGCGUGCAAGUUGAGAGGCAGGAAUGCCAUGAGCCCAGUGCCAACGUGAACCACCCAAGGAGUUCAAGUCUAGCCUGAAUUGCAUAGCAAGACCUUGUCUCAAACAACAAACAAACAAACAAACAAACAAAAACAAAACAGAAAAAACAGCAGUCAGGAGGCAGAGACUGACGGAUCCAAGACAGUCACAGCCAAGGCUGGUUACACUGAAAAACACUGUCUAGAAAAACUAAGAACAAAAAACAGAAACAAAAGCAAGUAAGCAGGGUUGGGGAUUUAGCUCAGUGGUAGAGCGCUUGCCUAGCAACCGCAAGGCCCUGGGUUCGGUCCCCAGCUCCGAAAAAAAGAAAAGAAAAAAAAAAAAAAAAGCAAGUAAGCAAACAACAAACCAAAACUACAGAUAGGGGUGGACACUGCAAUAAAAAAGGUGCCCACAGCAUCCAGAUUGUACAAACGGAAAAAUUUUAAAGUUUAGUCUGAACUUAACUAUGAAGAAAUAGUCAGACAUUUAUUUAUUACUUAUAUGUUGCUAUGCAACUAGCUUGGGGCUAUUCAAAUGACACAAUUAUAAAAGAUGAAAUUGGCCAGGCAUGGUGAUACACGCCUUUAGACCCAUGCACUCAGCAGGCAGAAGCAGGAAGAUCUCUUUGAGGUCAAGGCCAGCCUGGUCUACAUAGUGAGUUCCAGGACAACCAGAGCCACAUAGAGAAUUUGUUUAAAUAAACUGAGGGGAGGGGGUGGCACAGACAGACAGACCAAAGCCAGGGUGGUACCUAUAAUUUUAGCAUUAGGGAAGUAGAGGCAGGAAGAUCAAAGGCUCUGCUAUUAUACAUAGAGAGUGAAAGGCUAACCUGGGCUACAUGUUACCCUCAUUCAAAAAAGAAGAAGAAGAAAAAAAAAACCUGUACCAAGUCAUGGCAACAAAUGAAGUUUGGGAUUCUUGAUUGGAACCUGGACUUAAAAAGAGAAACCUUAAUGUUAGGUGGCAUUGAUGGUACAUGCCUUUAAACCUAGUACUUGGGAAGUAGAGGCAGGCUAAUCUUUGUGAGUUCAAGGCCAGCCUGGUGUACCAAGUGAGUUCCAAGAUAGCCAGGGUUACACAGAGAUUCUGUUUCAAAAAAAAAAAAAAAUCGGGAGAAGGGCUAGCAUUGGCUGCUCAUCCAGAGGUCCUGAGUUCAAUUCCCAGCAACCAUAUAGUGGCUCACGACCAUCUGUAAUGGGAUAUGGUGCCCUCUUCUGGCUUGCAGGCAGAACACUACAUAAUUUAAAAAAAAAUGAGAGAGAGGGAGACAGAGAGACAGAGGCAGACCUUGGAGCUGGAUUGAUGGCUCAAUAGUUAAGAGCCCUGGCUACUCUUGCAGAGGACCCAGGUUCAAUUUCCAGCACCCACAUAGCAGCUUACAAUUGUCUGUAACUCCAGUUCCAGGGGAUCAGACACCCUCACACCAAUACAUGGAAUAAUUUUAAAAAGAAGCCACUGCACUGUAAAAGACAUAAUUGCUGUUGGAGGAACUAGGCUCUGGAUGUAUAUUAGACAGCAGUGUUGUAAGGCUGUAACAAUCAUGAUGUUUGUACAGAAUGUUCCUGUCCCGUGGGACACAGACCAAAGUAAAAUGUGGUGAUGUCUAUGGCCAAUUUUUAAAUGGUUCAACUGAAAAAAAAGUCAGUAUAUGUAUAUGUGUACACGAAUGGAAUGCGUGUGUGUGUGUGUGUGUGUGUGUGUGCGCGCACGCGCGCAUUUCUAUAGCUAUAUACAGAGAGCAUACCACUGAUGAAUCUGGAUGAAAUGUAAAUUGGACAUUUAUUUUCCUACUUGUGAACAUUUUAUAUAGAUUUGAGUUUUCAUAUUAAAACAUUGAUAAAACACCCAG